rnacentral:rRNA from 1 species
ACGAACGCUGGCGGCGUGCUUAACACAUGCAAGUCGAACGGUGAAGCGAGUGCUUGCACUCGUGGAUCAGUGGCGAACGGGUGAGUAACACGUGAGUAACCUGCCCAUCACUCUGGGAUAAGCACUGGAAACGGUGUCUAAUACUGGAUACGACCAACCCUUGCAUGGGGUGUUGGUGGAAAGAUUUAUCGGUGAUGGAUGGACUCGCGGCCUAUCAGCUUGUUGGCGGGGUAAUGGCCCACCAAGGCGACGACGGGUAGCCGGCCUGAGAGGGUGACCGGCCACACUGGGACUGAGACACGGCCCAGACUCCUACGGGAGGCAGCAGUGGGGAAUAUUGCACAAUGGGCGAAAGCCUGAUGCAGCGACGCCGCGUGAGGGAUGACGGCCUUCGGGUUGUAAACCUCUUUCAGCAGGGAAGAAGCGGAAGUGACGGUACCUGCAGAAGAAGCACCGGCUAACUACGUG